UACGUAGGGGGCAAGCGUUGUCCGGAUUUAUUGGGAGUAAAGAGCGUGUAGGCGGCUAGGUAGGUCCGUUGUGAAAACUCGAGGCUCAACCUCGAGACGCCGAUGGAAACCAUCUGGCUAGAGUCCGGAAGAGGAGAGUGGAAUUCCUGGUGUAGCGGUGAAAUGCGCAGAUAUCAGGAGGAACACCGAUGGCGAAGGCAGGUCUCUGGGCAUUAACUGACGCUGAGGAGCGAAAGCAUGGGGAGCGAACAGG
rnacentral:rRNA from 1 species